GAUGAACGCUGACAGAAUGCUUAACACAUGCAAGUCAACUUGAAUUUGGGUUUUUAACUUAGGUUUGGGUAGCGGACGGGUGAGUAACGCGUAAAGAACUUGCCUCACAGCUAGGGACAACAUUUGGAAACGAAUGCUAAUACCUAAUAUUAUGAUAAUAGGGCAUCCUAUAAUUAUGAAAGCUAUAAGCGCUGUGAGAGAGCUUUGCGUCCCAUUAGCUAGUUGGAGAGGUAACGGCUCACCAAGGCGAUGAUGGGUAGCCGGCCUGAGAGGGUGAUCGGCCACAAGGGGACUGAGACACGGCCCGUACUCCUACGGGAGGCAGCGGUGGGGAAUAUUGGACAAUGGACCGAGAGUCUGAUCCAGCAAUUCUGUGUGCACGAUGAAGUUUUUCGGAAUGUAAAGUGCUUUCAGUUGGGAAGAAACAAAUGACGGUACCAACAGAAGAAGUGACGGCUAAAUACGUG
rnacentral:rRNA from 1 species